rnacentral:rRNA from 1 species
AACGAACGCUGGCGGCAUGCCUAACACAUGCAAGUCGAACGAGACCUUCGGGUCUAGUGGCGCACGGGUGCGUAACGCGUGGGAACCUGCCCUUAGGUUCGGAAUAACUCCCCGAAAGGGGUGCUAAUACCGGAUAAUGUCUUCGGACCAAAGAUUUAUCGCCUUUGGAUGGGCCCGCGUUGGUUUAGCUAGUUGGUAGGGUAAAAGCCUACCAAGGCGACGAUCCAUAGCUGGUCUGAGAGGAUGAUCAGCCACACUGGGACUGAGACACGGCCCAGACUCCUACGGGAGGCAGCAGUGGGGAAUAUUGGACAAUGGGCGAAAGCCUGAUCCAGCAAGGCCGCGUGAGUGAUGAAGGCCUGAGGGUUGUAAAGCUCGUUUACCCGGGAUGAUAAUGACAGUACCGGGAGAAUAAGCGCCGGCUAACUCCGUG